UAUUUUGCUAACUUGCAUUUGUGACUGUUUAUUCCUGAAGACAUGGGACGUGCCAAGUUGCCAACUCUGAUACUCCUUCUACUACACUUUCCACUUCUUUUAGUUCCUGGCUCACAUACCAAGAUAUGUAGAGUAUACAACGUGAGCUAUACCACCCCUUUAUGCAAGCCGCGUCAAUGUGUUGAGGCAUGCCACAAGGAGGGGUUUCCCCAAGGGUGGUGUUACAUAUUAGGUACUAUGCACAUUAUAAUUUUGUGUGUGUGCGAAAAACAGUGCUGAAAAAAACGUGACGCAACUCCCGCAGGAUGUGUGAUGUAAUAAGUAAUAAGGUUGUGCUGUAUGAUGAAGUGACGUUGGGCACCAGCA